AUGCUUCUUCCACCUGCCAUGAGUAACAGCAACCUCAAAAGCUGCAUCUUCUCCUUAGCUUGGUUCUACAGCACCACAUCACCUACCAGCCAAAGUGGAACCUCUGUCCCAGCUGGGAGAACAGACCUCUUUAUCAACUGGCCAUGGUUAUUCCCCCAUGCCCCAGACCUCUCAUCACUCCUCAGGCAGCCCAACCUUCCCUGGAGCACUGCUGAGGAGCUCUGCGCAGCACCCAGCCCAGCAGCUGAGCUUCCUGACAUAGCAAGCAAGAGGGAGCUGGUCACCAUGCUGGAGAUGUAUUGUGGGCCGCAAAACCACAUAAACCAUCCUAAAAGCAAAGGCAAUGUCACAUUUUGUCCUUAACUCAAUAGGCUCUCAGCAAGGAAAAGGAGGCAGCACCUGCACAUGUACAGUUGGAAUAGGCCAACACCAUCUUCCUAACCUUGUGGUACCAGAAUUAUGGGCUUGCUAGGGCAGAGCUCUCCAUUGUAAAAUAUGAUCUUUUGCCAUAGGAAAGUAGAUGAAGAUUCAGAAAAGAAUCCCUUAUUAAUCAAUAUCUGAUCUCUUUAAGCAAACCAUUUCCAAAUUUAGGAGCUCUGCUAGCACCGGGAGACCCAGUAGGGCUUACAGCAGCAGUUAUGCAGCACUGAAUGCCACCAACACGAGCUUAAUUUACUGAGCCUGUAGAAGGAGGAGGGUGAAAUCAGACUGUGGCACAAAUCAUGUUACUCUUGUAAGUUUAGUUUGCCAGACACAAAGAUCCUUCCAGCCAGGUAACCUAGUGCUAUAAGCUAACAUAUGUCAGCCUGCCAUAGACCCCCAAUUUAAAGUUUCCAUUCGGCUCAGUGGGAAUUAAUUGUUAGGUUCUGGCUUCUUCUGUUUUCUUGUUAAUGUCAAACACCCAUCCAGUGAGAGCUGCAAAUAAUACCCUCCUAAGGGUAAAUUGUGAGCUCAUUGCUCGUUUAAGUCACAUUGAGUGAGAAUACUCCCUAGCUGUGCUCUGUGAAUCAAAGACAGAGCAUAUGCAAUCAUCUGAAGCAGCAGCAGCCGCUGCAUUUCCCAGAAAGCUUUGGGAAACCUGACACAAUUACCGAUCAAUACCCUCUCCAGUUAAUUGAUGGGCCAUGGAGCCAAAAGGGGAGAAAAAAAAAGAAAGAAAAGAAAGAGGCUAUCAAUAAAUAAUCUCAGUUAGGAAACUGAGGUCUGAGA
rnacentral:lncRNA from 1 species